UAGGGUUUGAUCAUGGCUCAGGACGAACGCUGGCGGCGUGCUUAACACAUGCAAGUCGAACGAUGAAGCCGGAGCUUGCUCUGGUGAAUUAGUGGCGAACGGGUGAGUAACACGUGAGUAACCUGCCCUUGACUCUGGGAUAACUGCGGGAAACUGUAGCUAAUACCGGAUACGACCCUCGGAGGCAUCUCCAGGGGGUGGAAAGAAUUUCGGUCAAGGAUGGACUCGCGGCCUAUCAGCUAGUUGGUGAGGUAAAGGCUCACCAAGGCGACGACGGGUAGCCGGCCUGAGAGGGUGACCGGCCACACUGGGACUGAGACACGGCCCAGACUCCUACGGGAGGCAGCAGUGGGGAAUAUUGCACAAUGGGCGCAAGCCUGAUGCAGCAACGCCGCGUGAGGGACGACGGCCUUCGGGUUGUAAACCUCUUUUAGUAGGGAAGAAGCGAAAGUGACGGUACCUGCAGAAAAAGCACCGGCUAACUACGUGCCAGCCGCCGCGGUAAUUCA
rnacentral:rRNA from 1 species